GUUGAAGGUUUGUAUGCCCAACUGAGCCUACAUCCGAAAGCAGUGAGCUGGACGGACACUCUUGGUGUGGGAUGGGCUUGGAGGGUGAGUGCUACCUGCCUGAGUACCACACCGCUUCCUUUAGGACACUGGGAGACUUGCUGGAGCUCGCCCAUCUGACCCAGUCCUCCACAUGAGAUCUGGCAAGAUAAUCACUCCAAGCGUCUGGGGAGCAUCACUAGAAGAAAGUUCAGUGUGAUGAAAAAAAAGAGAUAAAAAGAGAGUGUGAUGCAGCAGAAAGAACUCCUUGCUUUCUCCACUGCUCCUGAGGAACCAGUGGCAGAUGAUGGAGACAGAGCGGCUCACUGCUCUCAUGGCUGGAGAAGUGGUAGGAAGCUCCUGGCACCACAACAUCUGAGUUAAUGUACUCUGCUCUGCCCGUUGUGCCUCCUUGCUCCCAGCAUGGGCAUGGGCUCCUGUUAUGCAGCGUGCCACAU